rnacentral:rRNA from 1 species
UUUUUUGUGGAGAGUUUGAUCCUGGCUCAGGACGAACGCUGGCGGCGUGCUUAACACAUGCAAGUCGAACGGAAAGGCCAGUGCUUGCACUGGUACUCGAGUGGCGAACGGGUGAGUAACACGUGGGUGAUCUGCCUUGCACUCUGGGAUAAGCUUGGGAAACUGGGUCUAAUACCGGAUAUGAACUGCCUUUAGUGUGGUGGUUGGAAAGUUUUU